GACGAACGCUGGCGGCGUGCUUAACACAUGCAAGUCGAACGGAAAGGCCCUGCUUUUGUGGGGUGCUCGAGUGGCGAACGGGUGAGUAACACGUGAGUAACCUGCCCUUGACUUUGGGAUAACUUCAGGAAACUGGGGCUAAUACCGGAUAGGAGCUCCUGCUGCAUGGUGGGGGUUGGAAAGUUUCGGCGGUUGGGGAUGGACUCGCGGCUUAUCAGCUUGUUGGUGGGGUAGUGGCUUACCAAGGCUUUGACGGGUAGCCGGCCUGAGAGGGUGACCGGCCACAUUGGGACUGAGGUACGGCCCAGACUCCUACGGGAGGCAGCGGUGGGGAAUAUUGCACAAUGGGCGGACGCCUGAUGCAGCAACGCCGCGUGCGGGAUGACGGCCUUCGGGUUGUAAACCGCUUUCGCCUGUGACGAAGCGUGAGUGACGGUAAUGGGUAAAGAAGCACCGGCUAACUACGUG
rnacentral:rRNA from 1 species